rnacentral:rRNA from 1 species
GGUGAACGCUGGCGGCGUGCUUAAGACAUGCAAGUCGAACGGCAGUCUUCGGACUGUAGUGGCGCACGGGUGAGUAACGCGUAACUGACCUACCCCAAAGUCGCGGAUAACGAUUCGAAAGAAUCGCUGAUACGUGAUGUGCUGUCAGAUGGUGUUCUGCCAGUAAAGAUUGAUUGCUUUGGGAUGGGGUUGCGUUCCAUCAGCUAGUUGGUGGGGUAAAGGCCCACCAAGGCGACGACGGAUAGCCGGCCUGAGAGGGUGGCCGGCCACAGGGGCACUGAGACACGGGUCCCACUCCUACGGGAGGCAGCAGUUAGGAAUCUUCCACAAUGGGCGAAAGCCUGAUGGAGCGACGCCGCGUGAGGGAUGAAGGUCUUCGGAUCGUAAACCUCUGAAUCAGGGACGAAAGACACUUCGGUGGGAUGACGGUACCUGAGUAAUAGCACCGGCUAACUCCGUGCCAGCAGCCGCCGUAAGAC